ACGAAUCCGCGCUCCCCCAGGCUGUCGCGCGAGCUCCCCGGAAGCUCCCACCUGAGCGGCGCAUCCUCAGGGCCUGGGCCUGGCCUCCUUGCCUGUGAGAUGGCACUGUGACGGUGCCCACCUCGUGGGGUGUGUGAGGGCCGAGUGAAAUCGUGCAUUUGCGAUGACCAAGUCGGCCCACUGCACCACCACGAUACUGACGAAGAAGGCUGUGUGGCAGGUGAACUCCACGAUUUUCCUCUGCUCAUAGGUCUGAAAUGCAGAAGACAGAAGAUGAGCUCUGGCUCUUCACCUGCAUGGCUGGUGGCAGUGUGGCCUCAGUCUUCUGGGGCUUGAGGAGCUCUGACACUGGUCAGGUCAGAGGUGCCCACUCACCCACUGCUGCCCGUAGCUGUCUUCCACAUCGUUGAUCCAGCGGUCAUCCCAGUCCACUCGGAGGCCCAACAGGUGAAUUGGGAGGAAGCCGUUCUCAGCCAGAAUCACAAACUUGCCCUCGCCCUCCGUGUACCCAUCGAUCUUCAGACCUGGUACUUGUUGGUGGAGUUGAAGGGUAUCUCGACGAUUUUGGCGUAUCUUUCUCUCAUCUCCUUCACGGAACCACAGCACAGCUCUAUGCACUUUAAGAGUGCUGACUCAGAGGCAUCUCC
rnacentral:lncRNA from 1 species